AGGUCUUCCCUUGUGGAAGAG
rnacentral:snRNA from 1 species